rnacentral:tRNA from 1 species
GGAAGGAUGGCUGAGUGGCCGAAAGCACUGGUUUGCUAAAUCAGCCUCGAGAAUACUCGAGCAUGGGUUCGAAUCCCAUUUCUUCCG